GGAAUUGACGGGGCCGCACAAGCGGAGGAACAUGUGGUUAAUUCGAUGAUACGCGAGGAACCUUACCUGGGCUUAAAUGUAGAGUGCAUUUUUAGAGAUGGAAAUUCCCUUCGGGGCUUUCUGCAAGGUGCUGCAUGGUUGUCGUCAGCUCGUGCCGUGAGGUGUCGGGUUAAGUCCCAUAACGAGCGCAACCCUUAUCGUUAGUUGCCAUCUGGUAAUGCAGGGGACUCUAGCGAAACUGCCACCGUAAGGUGAGAGGAAGGUGGGAUGACGUCAAAUCAGCACGGCCCUUAUGUCCAGGGCUACACACGUGUUACAAUGGUCGGUACAGAGGGCAGCUACCUGGUGACAGGAUGCUAAUCUCGAAAACCGGUCUCAGUUCGGAUCGAAGUCUGCAACUCGACUUCGUGAAGCUGGAUUCGCUAGUAAUCGCGCAUCAGCUAUGGCGCGGUGAAUACGUUCCCGGGCCUU
rnacentral:rRNA from 1 species